rnacentral:rRNA from 1 species
GGAGGGUGCGAGCGUUAAUCGGAAUUACUGGGCGUAANNNNNNNGUAGGCGGCUUGGUCAGUCUGAUGUGAAAGCCCUGGGCUUAACCUGGGAACUGCAUUGGAAACUGCCGAGCUAGAGUGUGGGAGAGGGGUGUGGAAUUUCCGGUGUAGCAGUGAAAUGCGUAGAGAUCGGAAGGAACACCAGUGGCGAAGGCGGCACCCUGGACCAACACUGACGCUGAGGUGCGAAGGCGUGGGGAGCAAACAGGAUUAGAUACCCUGGUAGUCCACGCGGUAAACGAUGUCAACUAGCCGUUGGUUUCAAUUGAGGAAUCAGUGGCGCASUAACGCGAUAAGUUGA